rnacentral:rRNA from 1 species
CAGCCGCCGCGGUAAUACGGAGGGUGCAAGCGUUAAUCGGAAUUACUGGGCGUAAAGCGCACGCAGGCGGUCUGACAAGUCAGAUGUGAAAUCCCCGGGCUUAACCUGGGAACUGCAUUUGAAACUGUCAGGCUGGAGUCUUGUAGAGGGGGGUGGAAUUCCAGGUGUAGCGGUGAAAUGCGUAGAGAUCUGGAGGAAUACCGGUGGCGAAGGCGGCCCCCUGGACAAAGACUGACGCUCAGGUGCGAAAGCGUGGGGAGCAAACAGGAUUAGAGACCCCUGUAGUCCCUGUCUCUUAUAA